UACUUUUUGUGUGCAUGAAGUCCACAUUGUUAACAUUGCUUCCCUACUCUUUUGCACUUUCUUUCUGUAAUGUUCAGAUUUUGAUAUGGCUCCCAAAUAUAUUCUUCCAGCGCCAUAUCAGGGACAGCCCGGCAGCUGACAGGCCGUUUAAAUGUUCGUGGGCAGCUUAGGGCAUGGUGGGAGAGGUGUGUGUUCGACAUCCGUAUCCACACUGAGAAUGUCAAACACAAACUGACAGUGUUUCUGGCUUUUGCCUUCCUCCGAGUGCUGGAGUUUCUGGGCAGAGCACCUUCCCUCAAGUCCAUCAAACAGAUUGCAGAGAAGGAAGAGAAGAGAUUUGAUACAUUGUGAGACCUGGCAAUGUGAAGCAUCUUCAUCAAUGUGACCAUAGUCAUCGACAGAGAAAAAACAGCAAACAACCUGGAACUUAUUAAAACUGACUGUAUGAUGACCAGGGUGUUGAUCGCAUAGCGGAGUGUAAUUCUUGUGCUUGGUUUGUUGUGUUACUGGUGUUCAAAGACGGUGUCAGUGCUAUAGAAGUUUGAAGCAAAAGCUUUAUAAUAUUAGAUGCUAUUGUAAGAGUAGAUGUUAAUAAUUAAUUUUAUGUUUAGAGGAAUAAUUUCUCCGUGAUCAUUGGAAAUUGAUUUGUAUCAUAUAAACAUGAAAACAUACAUCACCUUAUACUGAGGAAAUAUAGGCUAUGCUAAGGGACUGAUACGUUUAUUACCAUAUUUUCUUGUGUAUUUUGCAAACUUUAAAAAAAAAAGUAAUUUGAAUUUUGAUAUUUUUUAUGAUUCAUAGUCAUUACCACAGACACGUAACACCACAAACGCCAUGACAACAAAUCCCAAACUAAAUUAGCAAUUUUCCCCUGUAAUUACUCUGCCUAAUUAUAAAAUGUGUUAACUGUAUAUCUGGAGUUGUGUUUUUAAUCUAUUUUAUUACAUUUAUUCAAAAUUUAACACAGUAUUUGGUUAAUUGUGUUAGCAAGUUAUCGGCAGUGAACCAACCCAUCCGUGUAUGCAGCAACGAGUCAGAUUUUGUCUAUUGACACUUUGAAAAGAAACAGUGUGUGUUGGGGCGAGGGUGUCAGUGAUAUUGGUCUGUAUCAGAUUUUGCUGGUCCUCUAUCUUGUGUAAUGAUGUUUUAUGCCCCCAUACAUGCAAACAGAAAUCAUGCACCCCUAUAAUAAAUUUUCCUAUUCAAAGAUAUUUCUUUAAUGUGUCUUAUCCUUGCUUGUAUAAGCACUUAGAUCAAUAUUGAGAGCUUCAGAGAUUUGGUUGUUUUAUAUAUAAUAUAUGUAUGUUUAUUAUAUAAUGUCAAAGAUAGUUAUUAGUAUUAGUUUUCUACCUUGGUCAUGUGAAACUGUUAAUUUUAUUUGUUUCCUGAAAUUGUUGACUGUUGAUUGUUUAUGAUUCAUAGAUAUGUAUGUUGACAAUGUUGCAUGUGUGGUCAAAUGAUGAGGCACCAAUGCCGAGUUGCGGAUUAUUGAUAAUUGUUUCAGCUAUUGAGGGUUUACUCAUAAGUUAUCAUAAACUUUGUGUAGAUAGGUUUCUUUUUUGGUAUCCAGUACAUUUGGUAUCCAGUACAUGUUUACUGCAUUGGGUCCCGUCUAGUGGGUAUUUUUAGUCUUAUAAUUUCACAUUUUAAACUUGAUUCUUCUUGAAGUCUUGUUUCAGCUGACUUCUGAUUAUCUUUCUGAGGCAGUCCUAGGAGUAUCACUUGUUCAGAAACUGAAAGCAGCGAGAUGCAUAUUGAAUUAUCUAUAAAUGAGGUGUAUCACUUUGUUUUUAUAUUAUAUACAGCAGUGAGCAUGUAAAUGACAGGAGAGCAAGCUGAAAAGUUGAUCCAUUGAUUAGGCGAUGUUGUAGUUUACAAUUACUGGGGUUUUGACAUUUUCAUGCCUAUUUGUAUGCAGGCAACUCAAAUUAAAUUUGGUUGUAGUAAAUCUUUUUUUUGUAUAUUGUACAAGAGCUUUUCUGGAGCUUUUGAAAGUGGCAUCCCCCAGAGAUGACAGAAGCUUCUAGUGUGUUUUUCUAAGCCCUGAUUUUUUUUAUCCUUUAUCUGUCAACACCAUGUGGAUUUCACCACCUUGGUAAAAGUCUACAACCUGUAUCAAUGUCGACUUGCAGCAUUGAACCCAACUUUCCAGUAUUGUUGGCAACUGAAAGAAUGAAAAGUAUCUGUGUUUUUAAGUUUUUCUAAAACCUCACAUAAGGAACAAUUUCAUAUCUGAUGGCUAAAGAUAUGAUUUUUAGUUUGAAUUAGCAAAAGUAAUUUGAGGAUGAAAUGAUAUUUUUACUAAAUUUUAAUGAUGAAAACCAAAUUAUAAGAGUUAUAGUUUUGGAUUCCAAAUAUUUGAAUAAUUAUAUUGGGGAGUUUUCCUAAAUUCUACUUGGAAUUACUCCUGUACCAGAAUCAUUGCUUAUAUUCAAAGCCAAUUUGAAAAAUAUAUGUUAUAUUUUUGGUUGGUGCAUAUUGGCUUUAAAGAUUUUGAGGAUAUGUUUAUGUCUCAUACAGAUUCACUGCAAUGUAUUAAUGAUAAUUAUGUCUUCCACCUGAGCAAUCAACAAGAUCACUGAACAACGAGGAGAGUUCUAUGGAUAUACAACUUCUUUAAUAUAAUAUGAGUGACGUUUCGGUGUAGCUACUAACACCGUUAUCAAGCAUUUGCUUGAUUCAUUUGCAAGCAUUUGCUUGAUAAUAGUAUUAGUAGCUACACCGAAACGUCGCUCAUAUUAUAUUAAAGAAGUUGUAUAUCCAUAGAACUCUCCUUGUUGUUCAUCACACCAACUUCUAAAUACCACUCAAACAAGUUAAGAUCACUGAAGUAUGUAAGAUACUAUUUGGUGUGUUUAUUGUUUGUCAGAAUGUUUUCAUCGAAGCAGUAUGUUUACCUGAAGGGUAUUCAAAUAUGAUUUGUGUGAAUAGUUUGAUUAAUAUUCUUCCAAAAUGUUGGUUUGCCGUCAAAAUGUGAAAAUAAUGAUUCGAAACUGAGUGGUGUAAGAUUUGCAAGAAUAUUACCAUAAAUACUAUACCAUGUAGUCUUAUAGGUUCAGUGAGUGUGUUUGCUUUUCACUGUGAUAUGCAAGAGUUUAAUGGAGCAAGAUAGUGUUGAUGAAAUAAAAUGAGUAUGACAUCA